rnacentral:rRNA from 1 species
GACGAACGCUGGCGGCGUGCUUAACACAUGCAAGUCGAACGGAAAGGCCCUUCUGGGUUCUCGAGUGGCGAACGGGUGAGUAACACGUGGGUGAUCUGCCCUGCACUUCGGGAUAAGCCUGGGAAACUGGGUCUAAUACCGGAUAGGACCACGGCCUGCAUGGGUUGUGGUGGAAAGCUUUUGCUGUGUGGGAUGGGUCCGCGGCCUAUCAGCUUGGUGGUGGGGUGAUGGCCUACCAAGGCGUAGGCGGGUAGCCGGCCUGAGAUGAUGUCUGGCAACACUGGGACUGAGCUACAGACCAGACUCUUACGGGAGGCGGCAGUGGGGAAUAUUGCACAAUGGGCGCAAGCCACAUGCAGAGUCGCCGCGUGGGGGACGACGGCCUUCGGGUUAGAAACCUCUUUCAGCACAGCGGAAGCGCAAGUGACGGUAUGUGCAGAAGAAGCACCGGCCAACUACGUGCCAGCCGCCGCGGUAA